rnacentral:rRNA from 1 species
UACGUAGGGUGCGAGCGUUGUCCGGAAUUACUGGGCGUAAAGAGCUCGUAGGUGGUUUGUCGCGUUGUUCGUGAAAACUCACAGCUUAACUGUGGGCGUGCGGGCGAUACGGGCAGACUGGAGUACUGCAGGGGAGACUGGAAUUCCUGGUGUAGCGGUGGAAUGCGCAGAUAUCUGGAGGAACACCGGUGGCGAAGGCGGCGUUCUGGACUGCAACUGACACUGAUGAACGAAAGCCAGGGGAGCAAACGGG